UCUCUCCCCUCUGAGAUUCUGUAGUCUGUUCUACUCUUCUGUCUCCGGAUCUAUUUUAUUCAUCAGUUUACUUUGUUCAUUAGAUUUUGGGGCUAUAUUUCAAAGCUAAUGUUAUUAAAUAAUGGACUUUAGUGUUAAUUCCCCUCGUUCUGAGUCUAUGCUUAUAUGAAGCAGACUUUUGGUAAUAAUUAGGCUUUCCUUGUAGAUUUGUCUAUAGAUGAAGAAUAUACUUAACAGAGGAUCCAAGCCCCUGGUAAGUAAACGUGUUAGUGGAUAUCUGUUUGAGAGAGAGAGAGAGAGAGAGAGAGAGAGAGAGAGAGAGAGAGAGAGAGAGAGAGAGAGAGAGAGGAAUCUACUCUGACCAUGCUGCUAAAUCAGGUUCCAGAGGUGAAGCCUCAGGAACAUGGAAAUCACACCAGGACACUUUGAGACUUCUCUUGGCAACUAGCAACUCUUUAGCAUGGGUUACUUUGAUUCCAUCUUGUAGCUAGUUGUCCACAAAUACCCACUCUGUGAAGACAGUCCACCUCUUGGUUUGCAAGACUAGCUACUUCUCGGGACACAGUUACUGACCACAAAAGUUCCUUUCUUUCCAAGAGCAAAAGCUGGAAUUCUCCCACCUAUUAACAGCUGUGAAUCUUCUGAAACGCUCCAUGGAACAAAGACUGUUGUUGUCUUUAGACAUAUGACAUGAACAUUAAUUUUACAGACAUACAGUGAAAUAUGCAGUUGUGUGGAAAGCUUCAGGACUAGAGAAGGAUUAUAAUAAAUCCCCUUUCAAACCUUUUAGAGAUUCUUCAAAUGAUGAUAUCUAAUUUGAGAAUUUGAUACAUGUUCCAAGGACUGAAUUGUGAAUCUUUAUAACAAGUAGGAAAAAGGAUUGAGAAUGCCUAAAAGCUCUAACACCUAUGUUUUUUAUAAAAUGCUUACAAAACAUAAUUAUUGAAAAAUACUAUUUGGAAGUGCAUGAUGAUGAAAGAAGCAUCUGAAAGGAUGUUGCUUGGCAAUUUUGAGUUACUUUCCAACUAAAAACUCUGGUUCACGGACUUUAAGAUGAUUUUGUAUCUGUGUUUAAAAAGUAUGCAUCUUGAUCCAAUUUGACAGCUUAAGUACCAGGCUCUAGCAAGAUAAAAUCUGUAGUGACUAAGGCAGUGCUUCUUAAAUAAGCGCAAAUUGAACCUGCCAUCCCAAAUCACUACCAUCUCCUCGGGCAAGACUAGAUGAGCACUAACUCUCAUCUGAUGAGAAAGUUACCUCAAGCUCGAAACAGCCAGUUUGGAUUCCCUAGCAAGUUCAGGGUAAAGCAGAGAAGAAUACCAGAACUCUGUUCUUUAGCCAGCCCCCUAAAGAAUGGAGAAUCUUGUAGGGGUGAUGUAGUCAACAGUUGGAGACAAUUUUGAAGAAAGCAUUUCUUUGUCUUCUUAGGCCAGUUCGAAAGGACCAAGCAAGCACCUACCCUCGCUGACCUCAGAAGGUUAAACACAUACUAAAGAGCAAUGCUGUUUGAGGGGCAGAGCAACUCUGGAAAACUCUGCUGUCUGAAAUGAAAGCAAGGCACUCUCCACUAACAGCUGGUGGAUUCCUGACUUCUGCCCACAGGAGGCCUCUUCACGCUGAGAGCUCUCCCCCGCCACGGGAGGAAUCACCUGCUUUAAUUCUUGCUGUCCUCUUCUGAGCUAGUUAGGUCAUCCACUCCGUAUAAACUUGUGUAUCCACAUAAAGACAAAAAAAGAGUUGAUAGAUGGCGUGGGAGUCUCCCCAGGCUCUCCUAGUUGCAAUGACUAUGGAAGACAGCAGAACGCUGGCUAUCUUUGUUUUCAGCAUUAAGUGUCUGGGUCUCUCACUAAGAAUCUUCUUCAUUGCUUCCAACCAAUCGAUAUUACAAUUAAAAGGUCUUCUUCCUUAAAUCUGAUGGGUGUAAAAAUGAAAAGGAACAGCAUUCCUCUAGA